rnacentral:lncRNA from 1 species
CAGGCUGAAAGGAUUUAAAGUUUAUGCUGGAUCAUCACUUUGUUUUCAAAGUAUCUAUUCUGAAUACGAUAAAGAUGUAAUUCAUAUUAAAUGUAGAAAACCACUCAAUUCAAGUUAUGUCAAAAUAUCGUUAGAUGGAUGGAAUAAAAUGCUUACUCUAUGUGAAGUGGAAGUAAUACAAUGUGCUCCUGGAUUCUAUGGAGAUAUGUGUAUGGAACGCUGUGAACACUGUGAAGGUUCUAAAUGUGAUGAAGUCACUGGACGCUGUGAGGAAGGUUGCAUGAUAGGAUAUUACUGGUCUGUUCUUCACCAUAAGUGCAAAGCAAAGGCAGACUGUCUAGAUUCUUUGUUAUUCCGAAAGUAAAGAUGACCAAAGUAAAUCAGAACUUUGCACUAUGGAAAACAGCCAUUUUCUACUUGCAUUGUCGCAAUAAACACGCUAUAGACUCUACUUUUGAUGAAUGUUUACCGCUAGAAUAAAUUGACCAAUGUCUUCUUUCCUCUAAUCAUCAUCACAUCUGUGCUCCAAGCACCAAACUGAACGUGAGCCAAUAUGGGUGGUGUACCUACGUGAUCCCUUGACGUGAUGGAACUACCGGCAAAAUAUUCAGAGAAGUAUACUUCACCUCCUUAAAAGGAGACUGGUAUAAUGCGUGUUGUAACAGUACAUACACUGUUUCUGAAAAAAAAGGGAGGCUCAUCUUACAAUUAACUUUCAUUGUCUAGAUACAUACAUAUUUCUAAUUAAUAAAAUGGGAGCAGAAGCCCUUUUUUCAUCAAAAACCCCAAAACUUAGUCGUCACCAAUCAAACCAAAUGAUCACUACCUAAUGAUAACAAUGCACUACAAGAGAUAGUUGAAUAAAUGCUAAUGUACUUGGAGCAGUUCCUAAAGCAGUGCAGCCAUAGAUGCAGAAGAAUUAACUUAGAGGAAUGAAUAAGCGCCAUAGUAAGCUUCGCUCAACCAGGUCUGACUGAAAAAUAAACAGUCCCAGCGGAAAACAUUUAAAUGUUUGUAUAAUCUGCUAGAAAUAGCAGUGGAUCAUCCCUUACACUACACACUAUUGUUUGAAAUAAAAAUAGCAUACAUUAGAUAAUAUAAAACUAGGUACACAAUAUCUAAAGAAAAACUAGAUGGCCACAUGAGUAAUACUUCUGAUGAUAGAUCCCUUCCAGCAGGGCUACUUUCGGGA